CCAAAUAGUGGAGCAAAGCUAUGAUUAUGGAGGAUUGGACCUGCAAACUCCAGAACAGAGCAACCUUGUAAAAUGUGUGUGGGCAGCACAGAGACCUUGGGCAAGUUAACAGUUUCCUCAUCUAAAUAGUGAUUUAUGGAAAGCACCUGGUGCGUGUUCUGCCCUCUGAGGACCCUGCCCUUUCCCAAAAGGGAUAUCUUGAGAAGGAAAGUAUGGCUGCUCUUUGCUGGACAGCAGAGUCCCAGAACCCCAUGCAGGUGUUUUAGGGCUUUACGUCAUUCAAGGAUGUGGCUGUGAACUUCACUGGGAAGAAUGGAGAGAACUGGACCCUGCUCAGAGAGUCUUGUACAGAGAUGUAAUGCUGUAGAACUAUAGGAACCUGGUCUUCUUGGGAUUUCCAUUUUCCAAACCUGCUAUCAUCUCCCAGUGGGAAGAAGUGGUAAGCCCAUGAAUGCAAAUGCAGGAGGGAGAGGUGCCAAGAAGCAGCUGUACAUGCUGAACUCCAGUGCACCCAGUUAGACUUGGAGCGGAAACUCAAGUUGAAUGAAAAUGCCAUCUCCAGGCUCCAGGCCAACCAAAAGUCUGUUCUGAUGUCGGUGUCAGAGGUCAAAGCAGUGGCUGAAAUGCAGUUUGGGGAACUCCUUGCUGCUGUGAGGAAGGCCCAGGCCAAUGUGAUGCUGUUCUUAGAGGAGAAGGAGCAAGCUGCGCUGAGCCAGGCCAACGGUAUCAAGGCCCACCUGGAGUACAGGAGUGCCGAGAUGGAGAAAAGCAAGCAGGAGCUGGAGAGGAUGGCGGCCAUCAGCAACACUGUCCAGUUCCUGGAGGAGUACUGCAAGUUUAAGAACACUGAAGACAUCACCUUCCCUAGUGUUUACAUAGGGCUGAAGGAUAAACUCUUGGGCAUCCGCAAAGUUAUCACGGAAUCCACUGUACACUUAAUCCAGUUGCUGGAGAACUAUAAGGAAAAGCUCCAGGAGUUUUCCAAGGAAGAGGAGUAUGACAUCAGAACUCAAGUGUCUGCCGUUGUUCAGCGCAAAUAUUGGACUUCCAGACCUGAGCCCAGCACCAGGGAACAGUUCCUCCAAUAUGCGCAUGACAUCACAUUCGACCCGGACACAGCACACAAGUAUCUCCGGCUGCAGGAGGAGAACCGCAAGGUCACCAACACCACGCCCUGGGAGCAUCCCUACCCGGACCUCCCCAGCAGGUUCCUGCACUGGCGGCAGGUGCUGUCCCAGCAGAGUCUGUACCUGCACAGGUACUAUUUUGAGGUGGAGAUCUUCGGGGCAGGCACCUAUGUUGGCCUGACCUGCAAAGGCAUCGACCGGAAAGGGGAGGAGCGCAACAGUUGCAUUUCCGGAAACAAUUUCUCCUGGAGCCUCCAAUGGAACGGGAAGGAGUUCACGGCCUGGCACAGUGACAUGGAGACCCCACUCAAAGCUGGCCCUUUCCGGAGGCUCGGGGUCUAUAUCGACUUCCCAGGAGGGAUCCUUUCCUUCUAUGGUGUAGAGUAUGACGCCAUGACUCUGGUUCACAAGUUUGCCUGCAAGUUUUCAGAACCAGUCUAUGCUGCCUUCUGGCUUUCCAAGAAGGAAAAUGCCAUCCGGAUUGUAGAUCUGGGAGAGGAACCCGAGAAGCCAGCACCGUGCUUGCUGGGGACUGCUCCCUAGACUCCAGGAGCCAUAUCCCAGACCUUUGCC
rnacentral:sRNA from 1 species